rnacentral:rRNA from 1 species
AUUGAACGCUGGCGGCAGGCUUAACACAUGCAAGUCGAGCGGGGGAAGGUAGCUUGCUACCGGACCUAGCGGCGGACGGGUGAGUAAUGCUUAGGAAUCUGCCUAUUAGUGGGGGACAACAUCUCGAAAGGGAUGCUAAUACCGCAUACGUCCUACGGGAGAAAGCGGGGGAUCUUCGGACCUUGCGCUAAUAGAUGAGCCUAAGUCGGAUUAGCCAGGUGGUGGGGUAAAGGCCUACCAAGGCGACGAUCUGUAGCGGGUCUGAGAGGAUGAUCCGCCACACUGGGACUGAGACACGGCCCAGACUCCUACGGGAGGCAGCAGUGGGGAAUAUUGGACAAUGGGGGGAACCCUGAUCCAGCCAUGCCGCGUGUGUGAAGAAGGCCUUAUGGUUGUAAAGCACUUUAAGCGAGGAGGAGGCUACUUUAGUUAAUACCUAGAGAUAGUGGACGUUACUCGCAGAAUAAGCACCGGCUAACUCUGUGCCAGCCGCCGCCGUAA